rnacentral:lncRNA from 1 species
GGCUUGGGCAGGAGGGCAUCGCCUGUCCUGCUGAGACAGGAGCCACAGGGCCAUGGAGCCCUGGGCGCUGUGGGACCCUGAGAGGACGCCCAGAGCGGCUCAUGCAGGAGAGUCCUCAAGGCCCAGCGUGCACGCAGAGGGUUCACAACCACCUUCCCUAGGGCGCUCCAGAAGUUGCUUUCUUGUCAAAAACAGGAGAGAGCCUACCCUGCUGUGAGCCGGGAGACGGUGCUGUGCCCUGUCCAGGAGACCAGUGGCAUCUGGGAACAGGGAGGGACCCCAUGAGGCUACUGAGACAGCUGGGCGUUUGACUGCAGUCCCGCCAAGCCCCACUGCUGGGGCGGAUCCGCCCCCGCCCUCUCAAGUGCCUUGUGUUGCUCGGCUGAAGCCCACGGUCAGCAGUCAGCUCAGCGGCCUCCUCGAGGCACCCUGCUCUCACCCUGGCCCAGGGGGGCAGACUGAGGCGCCCCCCCACCGGGAAGCUGUUGGGGGACAUGCACCUGCCCAGGUUCCUCGGGUGCCAGACAGAUGGAAGCCGCGAAUAGAGGCCCCCGUCCUCCGCAUCCUCAGACAGAUCCACCGUGGCACCAGCAGGCUGUGUCGGCCCUAGGGCCUGGCUUCACCCCGCCCCUCCAUGGCCACCGUCCCCAUGCGCAAGCCAAGAGAGGUUGGGAGCUGGCCAAGCCCACCCAGGGCUCCUUGAAGGGCCGACUUCCCGUCCCCAUAGGCUCCCCACCCCUUCUCCCAGGUCUGGAGGCUGAGACCUCUUGGCAACCCCGGGCCCUGUCCUGGGCCCACCCAGCCUGGACUUGGUGACCACCGACUCCCUGUCAUUCUCUAGGCCCCUCUGCUGGUUGUGGCGGGCACUUGAGCAGUGUCUGAUCACUCAGGUCUCCUUGUGGGGUGGCCAGAAAUGUGGCCGUGGCAGAUCCAGGGUUCUUAC